rnacentral:tRNA from 1 species
GGGGUUGUGGCUCAGAGGUAGAGCGCUCACUUAGAGUGUGUGAGGCACUGGGUUCGAUCCCCAGCACCA